CCCUCUUAACUGGGCUCAGGGAGUGGGGCUUGCCCCUGCUCAGUGCGUGGGGGUCCCGGCCCCACACAGUGCUAGGGUCCCUCUCGAGUUUCUCAUCUGCCUUCAGGUCACUUUCCACCCUGAUGCCUUGGCUUGUCCUGAAGCUCAGGGCCCCUGUAGCUUGGGAAACCUCCCAAGCUCCCCAGCGAGUGGCUGUAGACCAAGGAAGGGACCCUGCCCGGCUUCAGGGAAGAAAGGAAGAAAGUUACUCCCCUGCUGGUGCCUCCCUCCUUGGCGCGCUUCCCACCUGCGAUCGGCGCCCUCUUCGCAGUCACGAACUCGCCAGCAGCUAGCAGCACUGACUAGUAGGAGGGCCCGCCGGAGGAGAGGAAGCCCCAGAGAGAUUGGUGAGGGUGAUUUCCCAGGAAGACGCAGUGUGCUCUGACUUCUGUGACAGUGAGCAACGGGACCAGUGGAUGUCCAGAUGCUGGCAAUGAGACAUGCUCUGGAGUCAGAAGACAGCGAAAAGAGAAGCAGAAGCCCCGGUGGCAAGAGUCUGAAGGAAGGAUGACUGUAGCCUGUGGAUUGUACUGCAGUAGGAAACUGUCCUAGCAAGGCUCCACUUUGCCCCAGCUUCAAGCUGGAAAGGAGGAGAACAUGAAACAUUGCUUGAAGACAAUGGCCGAGACAGCAGGUCCCACCCUGCACAGCCACCAGCAUCUCUCCCCUCAGCCCUGUCUCCUCUUCUGCAGUUGGGAUCUGCACAUUUAAGCCUGAAAUUGUCCUGUGAAGUGAAGUAUGAUCGGACAGCCUCUUUUCAGCUUUUAUGACAAUGGAGACAGAGGAAUUGUGGCUCUUGCCAAGGUCACAGGAUUGGAAUACAGAGCCAAGCCACCCCAGGACAUGCAAGAGCCUCAGAAGGGAAAAAAGCCCAGCAGGAAGGGAGAACAAGUAGCCUCUGUCCUGAAGUUGUAACAGCCAGGGGCCAGGAUGGAGGAGGAGGACCCCAUAAUCUGCCCAUCUGGGACUUGGCAGGGGACCUGGGAAAAUGUACCCCAACCCAUCCCUUAAGGGCCUUUGUCUUUGGCCCAUUGGCCUAGC
rnacentral:lncRNA from 1 species